ACGCACGCUGGCGGCGUGCUUAACCCAUGCAAGUCGCACGCUGAAGCUUGGUGCUUGCACUGGGUGGAUGAGUGGCGAACGGGUGAGUAAUACGUGAGUAACCUGCCCUUGACUCUGGGAUAAGCCUGGGAAACUGGGUCUAAUACUGGAUAUGACAUGCCACUGCAUGGUGGUGUGUGGAAAGGGUUUUACUGGUUUUGGAUGGGCUCACGGCCUAUCAGCUUGUUGGUGGGGUAAUGGCCUACCAAGGCGACGACGGGUAGCCGGCCUGAGAGGGUGACCGGCCACACUGGGACUGAGACACGGCCCAGACUCCUACGGGAGGCAGCAGUGGGGAAUAUUGCACAAUGGGCGGAAGCCUGAUGCAGCGACGCCGCGUGAGGGAUGACGGCCUUCGGGUUGUAAACCUCUUUCAGCACGGAAGAAGCGAGAGUGACGGUACGUGCAGAAGAAGCGCCGGCUAACUACGUG
rnacentral:rRNA from 1 species